AAAUCAAGGAGCCAUGUGAUAGCUGGAGUACACAAUAUGUAUAUUGUUAGAAUUAAAAAGCAGAAGACUGGAGGUUUUCUCUUUGGAGAGGGUGAAUCUGACAGGUUUGGGGCACAACUGGCACAGCAGCUACUUAAUGAAAGUUUAUGAGAAUGAGGGGCCUCCCAUGUCAGAGUUGGUGACCUUGAGCGUUCCCAGUUUGCCAGGUGGUGAAGAAAGCAUGAUUGAAAUGAUUGCCUGCGAAGAUCCCUCUCAGCUCAAAUCAAAACUUACGAUGGUUCUGCAUUUGUCUUUUUCAAAGCGCAAUUGGGCAGUGGCGUUUGGUAAAUCAAAAUAAAAGACAAAAGUAAAAAUAAA